AUGGCUAAGGAGGAGGGCAAACCAGGAGCCACUCCCAGGCCUGGCUGCCUCUGGAGCUGCAAGCGCCUCACUGGCUCUCCUGCCUCCUUUCCAGGGCCAGCCCAGAGCGGCUCUUGGAUGAGUAUGUGCCAUCUGAGGGCAGGGCCCCCUGCAAGGGACAAGGUCUGUGUGGGCCUUGGCCUCGGGUGGGCCCAGCCCCCUGCAGUCACAGGCCCAGUGUCCCCCAGGAUGGGAGGCCAGACACCCAACACACGACAGCAGCCUCUGUCUCUCUGUCCAGCUCCGAAGACGCAAAGUCAAGUGCUUCCUCCUGGCGGCUGGCGUCACCGUCCUGCUGGUCAUCGUCCUCAUCGUCGCCACCUCUGUUCGAAAGUGAUGCCGCCCCGGGCUGAUGCUGUCGCCUGGCCUGCAUGGACCUGCAGAGCUUUGCACCUGCCUGCCGCCUGCCGCGUGCCGAGCCCCUGCUUCUGUGCCGGCCCCUGGCUGAGCCGCCCAAUAAACUGCCAUCAUAGCCAGCUACAGGGCCACUGGUCUCCAUCUGUCAUCCGUCAGCGGGAGGCAGCUUCCGGCUCCGGGACCCCAGAGGUGGAGCCUGGGCUGCGUUGGGUGGAAGGGGUGGGGGUGUGUGUGAGUGUGUGAGUGCGCGGGUGUGAUGGCCGUGUGGGCAGGAAAUGCAAGCUGGGGCAGGGCCUCCACCAACCGUGGGAGCCCAGCCCGGCUGUGGCCCGGCCCGUCCUCCCUGAGGGCCAGCGGGCAGCCUACCACCCUGUUCCCCCAUGCAGCUCUGCGGCCCCUCCAGCUCCCAAAGUGAUGUCACAGCUUUUCUGCCUCUGGGCACCCAGCCGGGGGCUGGGCACAGAGAAGGGGGUCCUGGGUGGGAAGAGCCCAGCCCAGGCUGCCCAUGGGUCCCCCUCUUCUGCAGGAGUGAGGCGUGGGGAGGGCAUCCUACACAUAAGGGUCGUGGAGCCAGAGAAGCCACUGGGAGUGCCUGGCCUCUGUGGGUAGGAGAGGGCGGGAGACAGCCUCACCCGCCGUGGAGAGGGGGUGCAGGCAGACCCCGGCCCCUCACUGCAGGACUCAGCAUUGCCCUUCCCAGGCCCCCAUAGAGCUCAGGACCUUGUGGGCUGGGGGCUGUACAUGCCAGGCCCCCAGGACAGGCAGAGUCCAUGGCCUCAGAAUUCCAGAAGGGUCUGCAGGAGGCUACUUCCUGCUCAGCAGCCCCUCGUUCUUCAGCCCCCCACCCCCGUAGUCCGUCUUCCGCUGCAGAGGGUCUGAAGCAUUCCGGACCCCUUCUGCUUUGCCCCAAAGACAGCUUCAGGUUGAACGAUCCUGCGAAGCUCUGCGUUUCUCGACACUUCCUUCCCUAGGGCCUGGGAAAUGCGACCCUGCGGCAGUGUGGGCACGGCGGCAAGACAGGCUGGGGGGGCGAGGUGGUGGGCAGACCCCUGUGUUGGGGCAGCAGCCGCGUCCUCAGCUUUGAGCCGCGGGGCCGCUGGCUGCUUGGGCCCAGGGUGUCUAGAGGAGGUGUCGGCUGCAAAUUGGAUAUCACGACUCCGGCCGCAGGUGGGAGGACCCUGGCCAACGGGCGGCGGGGGGGCGGGGGGAGG
ensembl:lincRNA